UGUAAUAGUCUACCAGAACGACCAAAAAGCAAUUGUCCACAGGUGCUGUGUCAAGAGGACCCAUGAUGUCUAUGGCCACUUUUGUCCAGGCACCAGUAGGGUAUGGUACAGGUUGAAGUGGUGGUGUGACACCAGAUUUGUCAUGUAACUGACAUGUGACACAAGAUUUCACAGCCAUUUCCACUUUCCGUAUCCAUGCCAAGCCACCAGUCAAUUUCUCUCAGCCUCCUUCUGGUUCUGACAAUGCUCUGAUAUGUGUCAUGUGUGAAGAAAUGAAUUUGGACUGAAAAUCUUCCGGAACUAGGAGGUGGUUGGUCCCUUGCACCACAUAACCAUCCUGGAGCGAAAGUUCAUGUCUUAUUUGAAAGUAUGGCUGUAAAGCACGACCCAUUGUCUUUGCAGGCUUUGGCCAUUUUGAAGAAAGAAGUGUGCGCAGCUCAGUUUGAAUGGAACAAGACUUGCAUGCAGCUUUAAACUCAGUGCUGGAUACUGCACUGAGUGUAGAGAGGCCUAUGCAUCUGCCAGAAUGAAGCUACUGAAGGGAGAGGUCAACUCUGAUCUUCAGACUGAAUCAGACAGAAGGGGAAAAAGUGAAAAGGAUGACUGAGAAUCUCAUCUUCAUUUUAAAUACCGAGAAUUUGAGUGGGAAGAGGCAAGAAUGCUUCAGAGGCCUCACCACCUCCUGUUCCAGAGAGCCUAAGCUCAAGAUCUGUAAAAUUAUUUUAAAUUUUAGAAAAGUUACUUAUCUUUUUUUCUCGUCAUUAGUGAAAGAAAAAUUACAUAAGAUUGUUUUUGUCUUUAUGUUAAAAAGGCCCAGAAACUCAGCUAGAGUAAUGAAUGUUUCUGGUAAUGACAUGCAGCAAAAAUGUCCUUUCUGCUUAUUAUUCUUCUCGUUAGGUAUCAUACCAGGAGCACAUCAUUAUUUAGCUUAUUAUUUAUCAUUUUGAACAAAAAACAAAUGCAUAGGAACUUUCAAACAUUCCAGUAUUAAAAAUCAGCUGCUAAAUAUCUAAUUCCAGUCUGAGUCUGUGUCUGUGUUUGUUUGAAACAGUGUUACACUACAUUCCAGUAGGAUGGCAGCACGCCAAGGAAGGGUAAUAAUAUGCACACCCUUGCAGUAUUAAAUCUUUUUGCAGCAAUAUAUGUGUUUUGAUCAAUUUGAUUUGAAUGAAGUAUGGUUUGAAGUAUGUUUGGAUCUUGUUUCUGCUACUGUCUCUGGCAGCGUCUUCAUUCUCUUAAAUAAUGAGACGUGGUGGCAAACAGAAAGCUACAGUUUCUUAUACAUUGGGUACAGCUUUGUAGAAUACUGACUAGCUUCUGAUGUCAACACUGUAUUCUAAAAAUUACGUGUAGACUGUUGGCUUACAUAACAAGGCUGCGCAUUACUUGUCCAUCUUGUUCCCUCGUGAAGAUGCUUGAAGAAAGCAAGUGCAAAAAGCAUUAACCGCAAAGAUGGUGAAAAAGCUGUGUCCAAGUUUUAAACAGGGCCUGUGAUGGAGGGAAAACCAUGUACACAGUGUCUACCAGCAGCUAACUUUAUCAGGAAUCCUGAUGUGCUUUGGGAUGGCUGAAUAUUUCCACCCUCGUUCAUGCAUUCUGAUGGGGGGUCAUGUCAAUGUCCAACUACAACACCCAUAACACCAUGUUGUUGUACCUGUUGUUACCGAGCAGUUCAUAGUGUCAUAGUCUUUUCUGGUUUUUAGAUCUAGGACUUGGUUUUCUUGUUUUGACUCUUUGCCUUGCCCUGUUUAUGCUGCUUGCACAUUGCCUGACCAUUGCCUGUUUUUGACCUUGUUUUUGUCUCACAUUUUGGAUCUGUCUGCAAGCUUUAUAAAUAAAGCUGUUGUGUAGUUCAAAGUUCAAAGUUCAGUUUAUUUAUAUAGCACAUAUAAAAACACCCACAUGACUGACCAAAGUGCUGUGAGAUUCAGAAAAAGAGUAAAAUAAAAUGAAGAAAUCAGCACCACUAAACACAAUUAAGACAGAGUCUAGCCCCAAUAAUACAAUGACUAAGAAAAUAUAUUAGUAAGACAAAGGGAACAGAGUAUAUACAUUUUGAAGACAAAAUAAUAGGCAAAUACCAUAAUAGAAGAUUAUUUAUAAGCCAAGGAAAACAGAUACGUUUUUAGCGGUCAAAGAAGGGGCUAAUCUAAUCU